rnacentral:misc_RNA from 1 species
GGAAGGAUCAUUCGUAUUAAAUAUACAGUUGUUGAUGUUACCGUCUCCGAUAGUAUAGUUUAAUUUGUCUGUCCCACAGUUUUUUUGGUUUUACAUGACUAUGAAGUCGCACAAAAGGAUCAGCAAUGGAUGCCUUGGUUUGGGGAUCGAAGAAGGACGCAGCAAAGCGCGAUAGUCGCUGUGAAAUGCAGAAUUCUGAGAAUCAAAAGAAAUCCUAACGCACUCGGCGUUGUGGGCUUCUGUCCGCAACGAUUCUUAUUCAGUGUCGCUUUUAUAAUAAAUAUUAUAAACCCUGUGCUUUGUCGAUAAUUCUAUCGUGAGUAUGGUAAUGUUCCCCCGAGGUUAUAUCGGAUCGUUGCAUUAUUUUUGAGAGUGUUGAUAGUAAUUAAUGAGAUUGGUUCUGUGAAAAUGUUCUAUUUAUAGUUUCGUAUAGCAGAUACUUGUUGAAUAUUUUACAACCUAAAUACCUUCUAUUUUUUGAUGACCUGAAUUGGAAUAGAUUACCCGCUGAAUUUAAGCAUAUUAUUAAGCGGAGGGAAAGAAACCAACUGGAAUAUCCAUAGUAACGGCGAGUGAAAUGGACUCUGAGCUCAGGGUAUUGAAUCUUGCAUACUUCAUUGUAUUCAAGACAUGUUGCCCGGGUGUUUCUCGUGCAAGGUGCUACGUAUUGGAAAAGGCGAUUGGAAGAUCGCACCAAGGAGGGUGAAAGUCCCGUUCUCUAAUACGACAGUGCCAAAUGUAAGGGAAAUCGUAGAGUAGCGCUCUUUGGGAUUGGAGUGUGAAAGGGUGGUAGCAUUCAUCCAAAGCUAAAUAUAGCCCCAAGACCGAUAGCAAACAAGUACCGUGAGGGAAAGGUUAAAAGAACUUUGAAAAGAGAGUUAAAAGUACCUGAAAUUGCUGAUUUGAAAGCUUGCAGUGGCUCUUUGAUCAGGGUGAUUCUGUUUUUUUCUCCAACAAUUUCUCUAUAAUGUUAUGCAUCAUAUCUGAUUUUAGCGGUUUAAUAUAUACAGUUUCACUUUUGGCUGAUGGUGGUUUGCGUUUUUCGAAUCCUGCAUAUUUUUAGCAUCAUGCCCGUCAUGUAGCUUUAGAAGCACGAGGGUUAUUCGAUAUCGAUGUAGACCACAGUACAGUGUCCUAUGGAUAUAAAACUCAGCUGAAUUAGAGUUCUGCUGGGCCCGUCUUGAAACACGGACCAAGGAGUCUAACGUUUGUGCAAGUAUGUUGGUUAUAUAAGCCUGCAUGCGUAGUGAAAGCAAGUGUUGAUAUUUGUCAACGCUACUAUGAUUUGAACAACUGGUUCUUUUGUAGGCAAUUGUGGCCAUUCUUGAUCUUCGGUGAUAGUCUGCGUCUGAGCACAGCCGUUGGGACCCGAAAGAUGGUGAACUAUGCUUGGACAGGGUGAAGCCAGGGGAAACUCUGGUGGAGGCUCGUAGCGUUACUGACGUGCAAAUCGUUCGUCGGAUCUGAGUAUAGGGGCGAAAGACUAAUCGAACCAUCUAGUAGCUGGUUCCUCU